AGAGUUUGAUCCUGGCUCAGAACGAACGCUGGCGGCGUGGAUAAGACAUGCAAGUCGAACGGGACAUAUUUGGUAGCAAUAUUGAGUAUGUUCAGUGGCGUAAGGGUGCGUAACACGUGGGUAAUUUGCCGUGAAGACCGGGAUAACUUGCUGAAAGGCGAGCUAAUACCGGAUGUGGUCACGAGAAGGCAUCUUCUUGGGACUGAAGUUGGGGACCGCAAGGCCUAACACUUUACGAUAAGCCCGCGGCCUAUCAGCUAGUUGGUGAGGUAACGGCUCACCAAGGCUAAGACGGGUAGCUGGUCUGAGAGGACGACCAGCCACACUGGAACUGAGACACGGUCCAGACACCUACGGGUGGCAGCAGUCGAGAAUUUUUCACAAUGGGGGAAACCCUGAUGGAGCGACGCCGCGUGGGGGAUGAAUGGCUUCGGCCCGUAAACCCCUGUCAUUUGCGAACAAACCUCUUUGCCUAAUACGUGAAGAGCUGAUUGUAGCGAAAGAGGAAGGGACGGCUAACUCUGUGCCAGCAGCCGCGGUAAUACAGAGGUCCCAAGCGUUGUUCGGAUUCACUGGGCGUAAAGGGUGCGUAGGUGGUGGGGUAAGUCUGAUGUGAAAUCUCCGAGCUUAACUCGGAAAUGGCAUCGGAUACUAUUCUGCUAGAGGGCUGGAGAGGAGACUGGAAUUCUCGGUGUAGCAGUGAAAUGCGUAGAUAUCGAGAGGAACACCCGUGGCGAAGGCAAGUCUCUGGACAGCACCUGACACUGAGGCACGAAAGCUAGGGGAGCAAACAGGAUUAGAUACCCUAGUAGUCC
rnacentral:rRNA from 1 species